rnacentral:rRNA from 1 species
UACAGAGGUCUCAAGCGUUGUUCGGAUUCAUUGGGCGUAAAGGGUGCGUAGGUGGCGCCGUAAGUCGGGUGUGAAAUUUCGGAGCUUAACUCCGAAACUGCAUUCGAUACUGCGGUGCUUGAGGACUGGAGAGGAGACUGGAAUUCAUGGCGUAGCAGUGAAAUGCGUAGAGAUCGUAAGGAAGACCAGUGGCGAAGGCGGGUCUCUGGACAGUUCCUGACACUGAGGCACGAAGGCCAGGGGAGCAAACGGG